rfam:Pseudomonas sp. TTT2014-080ASC scaffold_2, whole genome shotgun sequence.
AGGUUGAGCGGCAUGGAUGCCGCGAAAGCAGCGAUGGGCCAUGGAUGGCCCUUCGCUGCGGGCCU